CUUUUCUUAUUUUCUCCUUUUUCUUUUGUUCUAUCUCUUUUCAUUUCAACACUUGCUCGAAAACCCUCAAGCUUAACAAUUCUGCCCUAAAAUCUCUUAUACACACUAACUCCAUCAUCUAGCCACAAAUUAAACCCUCAAGCUUAACACUUCUGCCCUAAAUUCAUAGCCGCUAGCUGUGUAACUUACCGUCGGCCCUAAUUUCAGAUCUAUUUUCCGGAUAGAACUCUGAUUGAAGGCAUGUGUAUCUUACUCAAUUGAUUUAUUUCUUCUAUUGUACUUAUUUCUUUUGAUUCGGUGUCGUGACAGUUCUAUAAAGUUUCGAUUUUGGUUUAACGGUGGGGAACGGAGAUCUGUUAGGAGACAAGGUUUGAUAGAAUCGGCGAGGUUUCUGAGUUGUGCGAGUAGCGGACGUGUGAUGAGGGAGCCGUCUAUGCUUGUGAGGGAGGCUGCGGCGGAGCAGCUCGAGGAGAGGCAGAGCGAUUGGGCUUAUUUACAGCCUAGACAUUCACGGUCUUUGUCGGCGACUUUACAGCCUAGACAUUCACGGUCUUUGUUGCAAACAUCGUCUUUCUUCUCAUUUGAUUCAUUGCCGCUAUUAAAUUCAGCCGCCGAUUUUGGUGUUGAUGGAGGAGAAGUUCCGUUUUGGUGUCGAUUGAGGUUUCAGAUUGGUCUAAUUUGGUGCAGGAAUAACCGAGAGAAGGCUUUGUACAAUUGAGAUGGAAUCAAAACGAUUGGUUUGGCGCAAUUCCAGGAGCGUUGAAGGAGCUGCAAAUACUAUAACUCACUUCCACCAAUAACCAAGGUUUUACAUGUUUCAGUUGAUUGAUAAUGUGCAUACCUUCAUAAAAGGGAUUUGACUGAAUGGGAGGAAAUUCAAUGAAGAUGUUGCAAAUUACGUGUAUGUUUGAUUUUUGCAAUCAUAUUGUUGAAAGUUUUCUUUGUUUUUAUAUCGUGUAAAGAGUUUAUGCAUAUUGUGAUAAUUAGAUAUAAGUUAAUAGAUCUCAGA